AUACCACGUUGAAAGCACGCCAUCCCGUCCGAUCUGGCAAGUUAAGCAACGUUGGGCCUGGUUAGUACUUGGAUUGGGAAACUUUCGAUUUUGGUAGAAAUUCCGCUGCUGGAAGUC
rnacentral:rRNA from 1 species